UACGUAGGGGGCUAGCGUUGUUCGGAUUUACUGGGCGUAAAGGGCGCGUAGGCGGCAAUUCAAGUCAUCUGUGAAAUCUCUGGGCUUAACCCAGAACGGCCAGGUGAUACUGCUUUGCUAGAGUGCGGAAGGGGCAAUCGGAAUUCUUGGUGUAGCGGUGAAAUGCGUAGAUAUCAAGAGGACCACCUGAGGUGAAGACGGGUUGCUGGGCCGACACUGACGCUGACAGCGCGAAAGCCAGGGGAGCAAACGGG
rnacentral:rRNA from 1 species